rnacentral:lncRNA from 1 species
GGAUUUGUCAAUGAGACAACUAUCCAACACAGACCAAAUGAUGUAAGUGGUAACAACAAUACAGGUCAACAAAAUAUAAAAGACCCCGACGUAACAUAAUGUAAAACAAUUCAAACGAGAAAAUCAACGGACUCAUUAAAAAAAACGAAAAAAAAAAAAAAAAGAACACAUGUGUACAGUAACAAAGAGAGGCAGGAGAUAUCAAAGCGAUAUUCAAACUCAUAUGUCGACGACAAACUGACAACACCAUGACAGGAAACGAAAUACAAUCAACAGAC